UCAGGACCUGGGCGGUCCGAGCGCCAGGGUCACUGCAAAGCUUUCCGCGCGGCGCCUGCAGGCCUGAGAGUGAAGGUUAUGGUGUCAAUUAAUCUUGCGGCUCCUGCUUUGCAUUUGGAGGACGUUUUGCUCCAUUUCGCAAUUCUUAGAGAUAAGACUAUGCGUUUCCCCUUGCAUUUCUUUUUGAUCCCGAUUUCUUCUCUGCGUUAUCUUUUGUUGUUGGUUUAAAGGUUUUUUUAAACGUCAACCAACGACUUUCAAGCUCUGGAAACCAAUGAGUCUGUGGGUGACUCCAAAGCAACUGCACUGCAAGUUCUGCUCCGGGCAUGGAUGACGGUCUCCCUAUCGCCCCAUAAAUGCCCACACUGGAACCUCUGUACAAUUAACCCUUCAGCCAGUGUGCCUGCAAAAUAGGGCAGAACUGCAUAAGGAUGGCUGGGAGGACGAGGCUAGAUCUCAGCAACCUUGGAUUUACCGUGACCUCUCGGACUGGUUUGGACGGGUGAGGAGACACUGAACUUAAUAUCCAUCCAGAUGUUCAAGGUCAGCUUUGAACUUGCUUUGUAGCCAAGAUGAACCUGUCUUUCAGAUCCUCCUACCUCACCUGCAAAGCGCUGGGGUCACAGGUGCCCAUUGCACCUGGCUUAUGCAGUGCUGAGGAUGGAAAGCAGGAUGUUGCCCAGGCUAAGCAAGCACUCUCCGUGUCCAGAUACAUCCCUGGCCAGCGGCAGCCUUUUAAACCUCAUCACUGAAACACGUGGCACUUCCUGGGGUGUGGGGAAAGACUGGGGCUCAGCUUGCACGUGGCUGCUGGAGUAACAUCCUUUUUAGGAGGCAAUUUGGCAGGAUCAACGCAACCUUCAGACAUGCUUGCCUGUACCUAGCCCUCAUCUGAGAAGCUGCCCAUGCCAGGUUGUGAAAUAGACAUUUGGCCUUUGUCCCACUUUCUGAAACAUAAUUCCUGAACUCGUUGGGCUCUCAGAGUGGUGGGUAUUUUUUGUUUUUGCUUUUGUUUUAUUAUUGAGUUGCCUGGCCGGGUAAAUUUAGGAUGGAGGCAAGUCCCCAGAGAAACCCAGGAAUGUGAGAGGACGUGUCUGAGGCACACGGGGUGUGCAGCUGGGGAAAACCGCAUGGAGCUGGAGCUGGAGCUGGAGUGAGGUCCAGACGUGUUCAAGCCCUAAAAAUCUCAACCUUGAGACUGGCAGGAGUAGAGAUAGCUCCCUCCCUGUUCUCUGCCCGAAUGCCCCGGGCACCAUCUCCAUCCUCAAGGCAGUCACGCAGCCUAGCACACAUAUUCUCAGCAUAUCACCCCAGCCAAUGACUCACUCACCCCAAAACGCCUACCCUCUUCCUCAAGGUUUAGCUGGCCCUUAGUCCCCCAGAGAGCUGUGUCGCUGAAAGGGCUGAAACACUAUAAAAGCUGUCGGAGAGACAGCGAUCCUAGUCCACCCCACUCACUGCCGAAGAAGGGUCCUGCAGACCCGCCUCUUUCCUCCACCCUGCUUCCAGCACCUGUACACAGCGGCGUCUGGAUGCCCAAAGGGAAGAAGCCGACCCUAGGCUCCUGACGGGCAGGUGAGGACUCUCACCCUCAGCUCCCUACAGAGGAGAGAAAGGUGGAGGGUAAUUGUGUGUACAGGGAGGCAUCUCAAAAAACAAACAGCAGGGUUCAGAGGGGCAGAGGCAAGCUGACCUCAGGUACUUAGGGACCGCACGGAGUUCUGCACAAAUUCCCACCUGCCUUGCCUCGAGUGUCUCUGCUUCUAAGGGUCAGUGAUCCCUCGGGGGUCCUCCACUUUGGUGGCAGCUAAGUCAGAAGAAGCUGUGGGGGAUCGCCGUGUGCAGUGAGACAAGAAGUUGGAGAUCUCCUGAAACAAGGAUUGGACUGGCUCCAAAGAAACCGAGGACCCUAACCAGCAGGAAGCCACUAAGAGAACUACGCCCCCUCUCCCACUAACCCUUUCUCUCUCCUACUUGGGGUAUUGGAAGGGUUUUGGGUGGAGUAGGGAGAACGAGAUAUUAAAAAUGUAAAUGAAAGGUU